UACGAAGGGGGCUAGCGUUGCUCGGAAUGACUGGGCGUAAAGGGCGCGUAGGCGGAUGACACAGUCAGAUGUGAAAUUCCCGGGCUUAACCUGGGGGCUGCAUUUGAUACGUGUUGUCUAGAGUGAGGAAGAGGGUUGUGGAAUUCCCAGUGUAGAGGUGAAAUUCGUAGAUAUUGGGAAGAACACCAGUGGCGAAGGCGGCAACCUGGUCCUUGACUGACGCUGAGGCGCGAAAGCGUGGGGAGCAAACAGG
rnacentral:rRNA from 1 species